AUUGAACGCUGGCGGCAUGCUUUACACAUGCAAGUCGAACGGUAACAGGCCUUCGGGUGCUGACGAGUGGCGAACGGGUGAGUAAUGCAUCGGAACGUACCCAGAGGUGGGGGAUAACGCAGCGAAAGCUGUGCUAAUACCGCAUGUGAUCUGAGGAUGAAAGCGGGGGACCGAGCAGCAAUGUUUGGCCUCGCGCCUUUGGAGCGGCCGAUGUCGGAUUAGCUAGUUGGUGGGGUAAAGGCCUACCAAGGCGACGAUCCGUAGCUGGUCUGAGAGGACGACCAGCCACACUGGGACUGAGACACGGCCCAGACUCCUACGGGAGGCAGCAGUGGGGAAUUUUGGACAAAGGGCGCAAGCCUGAUCCAGCAAUGCCGCGUGCGGGAAGAAGGCCUUCGGGUUGUAAACCGCUUUUGGCAGGAACGAAACGGUGUCCGCUAAUACCGGGCGCUAAUGACGGUACCUGCAGAAUAAGCGCCGGCUAACUACGUG
rnacentral:rRNA from 1 species